UGGGGAAUAUUGGACAAUGGGCGAAAGCCUGAUCCAGCCAUGCCGCGUGUGUGAUGAAGGCCUUAGGGUUGUAAAGCACUUUUGUCCGGGAAGAUAAUGACUGUACCGGAAGAAUAAGCCCCGGCUAACUUCGUGCCAGCAGCCGCGGUAAUACGAAGGGGGCUAGCGUUGCUCGGAAUCACUGGGCGUAAAGGGCGCGUAGGCGGACUCUUAAGUCGGGGGUGAAAGCCCAGGGCUCAACCCUGGAAUUGCCUUCGAUACUGAGAGUCUUGAGUUCGGAAGAGGUUGGUGGAACUGCGAGUGUAGAGGUGAAAUUCGUAGAUAUUCGCAAGAACACCAGUGGCGAAGGCGGCCAACUGGUCCGAUACUGACGCUGAGGCGCGAAAGCGUGGGGAGCAAACAGGAUUAGAUACCCAUGUAGUCCCUGAGCGGGCUGGCAAGGCGCAU
rnacentral:rRNA from 1 species